ensembl:snRNA U6 U6 spliceosomal RNA
GUUCUUAGGUAAGCAGCACAUAGAUUAAAACUGAAAUGAUACAGAGAAGACUAGCACGAGGAUGAUAUACAAAUUCAUGAAGUGUUCCAUAUUUUU